rnacentral:rRNA from 1 species
AAUGAACGCUGGCGGCGCGCCUAAUACAUGCAAGUCGAGCGAGAAGACGUAGCAAUACGUCUGUAAAGCGGCGAACGGGUGAGGAAUACAUGGGUAACCUACCCUCGAGUGGGGAAUAACUAGCCGAAAGGUUAGCUAAUACCGCGUACGCUCCUUGGACUUCGGUUCAGGGAGGAAAGCGAUACCGUGGGUAUCGCGCUCUUGGUUGGGCUCAUGUCCUAUCAGCUUGUUGGUGAGGUAACGGCUCACCAAGGCUUCGACGGGUAGCUGGUCUGAGAGGACGAUCAGCCACACUGGCACUGCGACACGGGCCAGACUCCUACGGGAGGCAGCAGUAAGGAAUAUUGCGCAAUGGGCGAAAGCCUGACGCAGCGACGCCGC